GCCUUGUUAGCGCAGUAGGCAGCGCCUCAGUCUCAUAAUCUGAAGGUCGUGAGUUCGAUCCUCACACGAGGCA
rnacentral:tRNA from 1 species